ACAUUCUCUCCUCCUCAUUCUCCUCCCUCCACUUCCUUUUACAACAACAAUGUGUUUUUUCCAUCCUUGGCCUUUCAUAGAAAGAGACAUCUUUGAAGAUUUCAAGAGGUUGCUUUGAAUUGGAGAUGAUAGGUGACCGGUCUUCUAGGGGUAAAAUCAAGUAGAUGUAGUUUUACCCCAGGAAGAUUGGCUUUCUUGUGGUUUUUUUUUACCCCAGGUUUAGUUUUACCCCAUUGUAAAUGUAUCCAUUAUAUUAAUAAAAUGAGAUUUUAUGUC
rnacentral:lncRNA from 1 species